GUCAACCCAUUCAUCAAACAGUAGUUGUUUAAUUCAGUUCAGGCAAUUGCCUUAAGGUUAUUGGCAGCUGGGACUUGAACAACCGGGUACAACUCACUCUUUCGUUGGUUACAUUGGCCAGGACGUGGAAUGGAUAGAAGAAAAUACGCCUGCAGAAAUACAAAAAUUGUGCAUUAUCAAAUUGUAAGGUGAUUAGAUUGGAACAAGUACAAGCCAACUG